rnacentral:rRNA from 1 species
CCUGGUUGAUCCUGCCAGUAGUCAUAUGCUUGUCUUAAAGAUUAAGCCAUGCAUGUCUAAGUAUAAGCUUUUAUACGGCUAAACUGCGAAUGGCUCAUUAAAACAGUUAUAGUUUAUUUGAUGGUCUUUACUACAUGGAUAACCGUGGUAAUUCUAUGGCUAAUACAUGCGCACAUGCCUCUUCCCCUGGAAGGGCAGUGUUUAUUAGAUACAGAACCAACCCACCUUCCGGUGGUCCUCAGGUGAUUCAUAGUAACCGAACGGAUCGCGUUGACUUCGGUCUGCGACGGAUCAUUCAAGUUUCUGACCUAUCAGCUUUCGACGGUACUGUAUUGGACUACCGUGGCAGUGACGGGUAACGGGGAAUUAGGGUUCGAUUCCGGAGAGGGAGCCUGAGAAACGGCUACCACAUCUAAGGAAGGCAGCAGGCGCGCAAAUUACCCAAUCCUGAUUCAGGGAGGUAGUGACAAGAAAUAACAACACUGGAAAUUUCAUUUCUAGUGAUUGGAAUGAUAGGAAUCCAAACCCCUUUCAGAGUAACAAUUGGAGGGCAAGUCUGGUGCCAGCAGCCGCGGUAAUUCCAGCUCCAAUAGCGUAUAUUAAAGUUGUUGCAGUUAAAAAGCUCGUAGUUGGAUUUCUGCUGGAAGCAGCCAGUCCGCCCUCAGGGGUGUGCACUUGGUGAAUUCUAGCAUCCUUCUGGAUUUCUCCACACUUCAUUGUGUGGAGUUUUUUCCAGGACUUUUACUUUGAGAAAAUUAGAGUGUUUCAAGCAGGCUUGUCGCCUUGAAUACUGCAGCAUGGAAUAAUAAGAUAGGAUUUCGGCCCUAUUUUGUUGGUUUCUAGGACUGAAGUAAUGAUUAAUAGGGACGGUUGGGGGCAUUCGUAUUUAACUGUCAGAGGUGAAAUUCUUAGAUUUGUUAAAGACGAACUACUGCGAAAGCAUUUGCCAAAGAUGUUUUCAUUAAUCAAGAACGAAAGUUAGGGGCUCGAAGACGAUCAGAUACCGUCGUAGUCUUAACCAUAAACUAUGCCGACUAGAGAUAGGAAAACGUCAUGCUUGACUUCUCCUGCACCUUAUGAGAAAUCAAAG